UUAUAUGUGAAAUCUACUUGUUGUUUCCAUCAUGUGAUCUAACAUAGGUAUUAAGACUAUUAAACAAUCAUAAUCAUAUAUGAAUUUACAAAACUUAUUUCGAGUUAUACAGCUUUACAACAUUUUUAGUGGCUGUAUGUCACUACGAAAAAGGGUUAAACUCAUUCAGUGGUUUAGUUGAAAAAUAGUUGUAUUUAAUAAAGUAGCUAGUGUUUACGACGAUGGUUUUAAGAUCGGACUUUCUGUUUUAUGUUAAGCUCGUAUUGUUUAAAAACUGUUCGUAUCUAUAUCAAUAGUAAAUCAUUUCAUUCAAGUUAAUAUAGUAUCUACAAUACUAUCUAAAUUACGAGUCAGUUGACAAAUGUGGAUUAUAAGCUGAAGAUUGUCAGAGAGUACAUCUCGCUUAUAACAAAAUAAAACACAAAGCAUCAAAGAAAUAAACGGUUUAAACCGUACAUAUAACCAAAAACUUUUAAAUUGAUCAGUUCGAAGUUGGUCUUCCGUUCUUCUAUUAAUUAAAAGCAAAUGAACAAAACUUUUCAUUUAUAAUGCUUUUAAAACUGAGUGUUUAAUUAUUACUCCUAUGAUUUUAUAUAAAAACGGUGGUAACAUAGUUCUUUUAGAAAUGGAAUCGAAGAAGGUGAUAAUAAAAAACUAUUCUCCAUAAACUGGUCACUCGAUUAAUAUAAUUGUAUUUGGUAUCAUAAACCAACUGAAGAAACGCCAAAUUUUUCUUUAAACUCAACACCAAAAUUUUAGCCAACAAAAAAAAAACUCAACGCCAAUCAAGAUUCAAGACUGUUGUUUCUUUGAUGAUUGAGAAGAAAAUUGCAAAACCUUUUAUUUUUUCAAAAGCAAUCUUAGGCUUUAAAGUAGAGAGAAUUUAAGUGGGUGAAGAAGAAAGGGAAAAGCUUAGACACACAAAAAAAACUUAUUCCAUUCACGAAAAUAUAAACCUUGAAUAUUUAUUGAAUUUCGUUUAUGUUAAAUAUUAAAAUUUUCUUCCAUGCGAAAAUAAUUUUUUUUCUUUUUAAAAAAAAGGAGAAACCCAACUUUUGUUGAUUGGAUUUGGAUCUCUCGUUUUCAAGGAAAUCGGUGUUGCUCCAUCAUGAAAUCUACAGUAUAUAUUGCCAUGUCCUUGCCUAAAAAGUAAACCUAACUUGUUGUAUCAUCACCAAUUGUUUCAUAGCUUUCAAAUGUGCGUAUUACAGAUUUUAUAAGUGGGUUAGGAAAUUUCAAACCUUUGCUAGAAACAUUUUUUUUUCUCUAAAACGAGUUAUAUUAAAAAACGAAGGAAGUAGUAUUUUGUUUGGAAGUGUUCCCUACUUUAAUUAAUUACUGAGCAGCGUAUUGGUAUCAUCAAUUAUUAUAAGAAACAAAAAGUAUUUGAUAUCAUCAAUUAAAGUGCCCGCUCCGUAGAGAUUACGGAGGACGUUGAUAGUGUGUUAGAAAAUAUGAACUAGUUAUUAAAUCACGGCGGUAUUAUUUCUGCAAUUUUAUUCCAACAUUGGAUUUAAACGUGAAGAUACGAGAAUAAAAUUGCAUGAAUAAUACCAUCGUGAUUUAUAUGCCAUCACGUCUUUUGGGUCUAUAAUAUUGUUAUAGUACAAACUAUACAAACGAAAAGAAAGAAAAUAUGAACUAGUUAUUAAAUAAAAAUAAUUAGUAUGCCAUCAAAUUUUUUAAUUUAUACGAUUGAAUUAUUAUACGAACUAUACAAACGAAAAUGAAGAAAAUAAAACAUGAACUAAAUAUAUAAAGAAAAAAAAACUAAAUAUAUAAAGACCGCUACUACCCACUAAUUUUUGUUUGGAGUCUUGCUUUUAAAGUCAAAAAUGUUCUCCUUCGGAGCUAAGGUUCAAUUAUUUUAUAACCUUUUAAUUUCCCGUUUCACGCACCAGAUUUUCAUGGACACAACUUUUUUGCCACCGAAAUCUUCACCUAUCUAUUUCUAAGAAUCAUCCCUUCUUUGAAGUCUUAUAAACAUUCUGCGAUAAGCCGACAUCUUAAGGUAUGAUUGGUUUUUCCGCAAUCAUCCGCAAACACAGCUUUUGCGGUUAAUAGCAGUUGUUGGUGUUUUGCAGCAAUCACUCAAACCGUUUUAAACCACUCUACAACUCAUAAAUUCAAAAGCUGGUUACAACUAACGUUUGCGGUUGCGGAUGCUAACGUUUGUGGUUGCGGGUGCUAAUGUUUGCGGUUGCGGGUAGUUGCGAGAAGAUAUUUUUUUCUUUUUUUAAAACAAUAUGAAUACAAAGAUAUAAAUAUUCAAUAAAAAUUUUAAACUGAAAUUAUAAAAAUACCAAAAUAUAUCUAUUAUAUUUUAAUUAAUAUUAUAAAAAUCUAAAUUAAAAUAUUUUCUAUAAUUUUUAAGAAUUUGAAAUUAUAACUUUCUAAGUAUAAUUUUUAUAUUUAUUAUAAUUAUAUAAAAUAUAAGUAUUAAUUAUAUAAAAUAUAAGUAUUGUUAAUUUAUUAUUUAACCGUUGUUGUAUUUGGUAAUUAACCAGUUAUUAGUAUCCUGCAAACGCAUCAAUUUUUAACCGCAGAAUCAGUAGUACAAACUUCCCGUAACCGGUGCGUUCAAAUUAAUCAUUUCCUAUUGGUGCUAAUUUCGACCAUAAUAUUCGUGAAAGAGAUUAAUGCCCAUUAAUAUAUGGGCCUACGGAAGAGAAGAUAAAGAAAACUAAAAUGUAGUAAUAAAUAAAUUAAAUGAGUCUUGACAAAAAAUGAGAGUGAUGAUAUUAAAUUUCGUUAGCAAAGUUUGGUAGAAUCUCACCGAAAUAUGUUUGAACAAAAAAAAAAAAAAAAAAAAUCUCACCGAAAUAUGUUUGUCAUGUCAUGUUCUGGCGUGAACUCAAACACGUGGUGUAGAAAACUUGGUCGGAGAUCUCUGAGUUAAUACUGUUAGUAGUUAGGGUAACGUCCGAGAAAAGUAAAACAAAUGCAAAGAAUAUUGUUAGAGAUCAGUAACUGCGUAUCAAACUCCUUCGUCCUUGCUUUGUCGUGAUAUCAACAAAUUUGUAUUCAUUUUCUUUCUUACACCAAAUGUACCAUAUUAGAAUUUUAAAAGAAACUAUAAUUAAACUAUUUAAUAUCAGAGCGUGAAGUCAUGCGGUCUCUCAAAACCUAGUGCUUGUCGUCUUCAAUUUCCAUCUCCUUUCUGCCUUUCCGGCGCUGCGAAAAAGCCCACGAUCGAUUAUUCCGCCUAGUAUCUCUUUUUCUUCAUUGCAGCAGACGUUGGCGAAGGGUCUAUGUUCUGCUGGUGGUUCUAUGCAAAUUUUGUAGCUCUGACUUUAGUUCCAUUUUGGGAUGGUCGUGUACUGUCUUGGCUUCUCUAGCGAUUAGGCCGACCCUCUGUUGCUUCUCUCCAUUGGUGAAUGUCUCUCCUCUUUCAACAUCUAGGUCACUUUGACGGAGUGGUCUCCAAACUUCGCUUCUUGCCAUCUUAAUCCAAGGUAAUAUGGAUAUGGUCCGCUGAGCUAGAGUUCUCGGGAUCUCAGACUUCGUUAUGGAGUUUCUUUCCAUAGAGUCAAGCUAGGUGGUUUGCUAUUGAGUGAUGCUUUAAUCAGCUCCUCGUCCCCCUUUUGGUGUUGAUUGGUGUUGCUUGUGAGUCUAGUUUGAUUUGUAGGUUUAAUCGAGUGAAGCUGUGGAGAUACUUUGAUUUCACGGAGCUUGGGGUCGCACCUUGCGGCUGGAGGAGAGAGUAAGACCCGGGAGGUGGUGAUGCUGCACCCUUACCCUUAACCGGCUGAGAGGACCAGUGCGAUUGGGUGAGUUGAGUGCUAUUAAGCACAUGUGGUCCCUGUUGCCCCGUCCUUGCCAGAAUUAGGUGCAGAUCUUACCCAGCCCGGACUUUGACAGUGGUCUUUGAGCGGGUUUGCCUCUGUUUCUCUGAGAAAAGUAAUGAUUUAGGCAGCUGAUUGAAACAACUUCUUGCUAGCGUUGUGUUCCUCGAUUUCUGGUCUUCGGGGGUCUCUCCAUUCUUGUCCAUCUCGAUUCUAUCUUUUAGCCAACUUUUCAAGAUUGUAUCGAUAUAAGAUUAUAUCUGUUAUCAUGUUCGCCUUCAAGAAAAACGGUUUCAGUUUUGAUUGUCAUUUGAUUACAUGUUUUAAAACUUUUUUGUUGUGUAAUCAAGUAUAGAAGUCUUACCGCUUGUUUAACAACAUCUUGUAACCUUAACGUUCAUUUUGAUAAUCAUAUUUACAAUUUAACAAAAAAAAUUAUUUAAUAUAAGUUAGAAUUUUUUUUAUAGGUAAGUUGAUUAAUGAUAAAAAAAUUUAAGUUAGAAAUCCAAAAAACUUAACAAGUUUAUUAAAAAAAAAGAAAAGUUGGAACGUCACAUUGUUUUCUGUUUUUACCAAAUAAACUACUAUUUCGUAGUCUCACCUCUCACGAUCCAAGGAGAGAUAUCAAUAACAAGUAUGUAGGGUUCUAACUUCUUGGAGUUGUUCAUAGCUGUUCGUAGCCUAACUAUUCUCCUCCGAUUCCCCUCGCUUGGAUUUGCAUGGUUCUCUCCUCCUUUCAUGUUUAAAAUAAAACACUGCUCCUUUUAGUUUUUUUUUUUUUGAGUUUACACUAAAUAAUAACGAUCGUGGGUUUGAUCGUCUUUCUUUUUCUUCUUUUGAUGUCUUUUUUACUCGUCCUUUCGUUUUCAUAAAAGAUUGAGAGAAAAGGUGGCUCGUUAAAAUUAGAGCGUAUGUGUUGUUCCAUAAAAAAAAAAGGAGCUUAUGCAUAGCGUUUUUGAAGACCCUACGCCUAUAACCACUCAUUGCAAUUGCGAGAAAUUGUAGAAAAAAAAUUCUAACAAAGAUUGCCGAGUAUAUCAUCAAAACUAUUGUAUAGAAAAAUAAACAAUAAAACGACGAUGUAUUCAUCCUGUUUCGUGUUAAAAUGAAUUAUAAAUUAGAAUAAACUUAUCAGUCCAAAAAAAUAUCUGGCAGGAUCUUCAUGAAUGUGGUUGGUGGCUGUGUAGGAACUGGUCAGUUCUAAAUAAUCGUCCAAUGAUGUUAAUAUGUAUAGGUAAAUGCCACUUAGGUUGGAAAGGUGAACAGAAAUUAAUUUAUACUAAAAUAAACAUUUGUCGAUUGGAAAACAAAGAUAACUUAUGUGUGAUCGUAAAAAAAAAAAAACUUGUAUAGAUGUGUGUGUUAUAUAGUGUUAGUGUAUGUAUAUGUGUGAGUGUUGUUGUGGGCGAAUCUGCAAAGGAAGAUACAAGGUGCCUGCUUUAUUUUUCCUGCAUUUUGUUUUCUUGUCUAAAUGCCUCAAAGCCACAUGUAAUCUCACAUGGGCUGUAUCUAUUUUUUGGUUAUAUAAUACAUAUCUCAUCUAUAAUAUGUAGUAUAAGUGAAAAUAAUAUGAUGCAUACCCUGGCAUUGCAUUGAUGUUAAAAAUAUAUGUAAAUUUUCUUGUUUAGUUUUCAGCUUUUAAAAUCUAAAAACUCAACAUAUAUCAUCAAUGAAGCUUUAAAAUUAAUAAUAAAGAAACAACUGUUUUAUUUAAUUUUAGUUGAUAACUAAAAAUGUUAUAAUUCGGGAGUUUUAAAUAGACUAAUGCUAGAAACUGCAAAAUAAUUUUACAUCCAUUUAAAUCCACAGAAAAAGAAAUUAUUACGAAAAGUGAUGUUUGGUUUUAAACUGAACCCAUACAAAACAAAUAAUAGAUGAUUUAAAUUAUCUUUUUUAUAAAGGAGAGUUGAAGCUAUCUUGCAUGCAAUUUCUUUCCCUUUCUGUGUCAACUUUUGCCGGCCACUCGACGAAUAUUCCUAUUUCUACAUCUAACUCCUCUUUAAGCCUUUCAGAUUCUAUCCAUUAUUCAUUCUAUUUCAUUUUUCUACAGUCUUUACUUAUUGUUCAAACCUCGAAACCUUUCUAUUUCUGGCUUUUUAUUUCUUUUGAGAAUAUUCCAUCACGAUUCGCAGAAUUUGGUGCCCUUCAUUCGCACAUACGCUUCAAGUCCAUAAUAUAUUGGGCCUACCACAUAUGAUAAUUAGGCCCAUAGUUUAGCUUAUUCUGUUUCUUCAUUACGCAACAUAUUCUCAACGAACAAAUAAUGUUCCUGUUAGAGAAGUUUACUUUCUCUUCGUAGGGAAGGAUUCGAAGGCAACAAGUAAAUGCCCAUGGAGACAUGUGUCAUUUCAACAAUCUAAAAUACUGAAGAAGUUGGAGGUUGACGUCAUCGUGAAAGACGGCCACCGUGCAUGUUGUUGAGGUGGAAUACGAUGGAAACGAAAAAACCAACACUUGAGUCUUUCUUUCACCGCUGGGGAGAGGAUAAGAGGAGACAGAAGGCGAAAGAGAGAAGUGUUUAGAAAUAUGAAAAGUGAUAGAAAUGGUGUUUUCUCUUCCGGCUAUCGGCCAAGUAGAGGAGCGUGAACUCCACAUUUCACCAGGAGAGCUCAUAUGCGAUGAGAUCGGCAAGUAUAACCACAAGAGGAUGGGAGAAUUACUUGUUACGUUUAUUCACUUUCAAAAUAAAAUUAAUUGGCUAUUUGCCAAAUCUUUUAUAUAUUAUUUUUUUUUUACUAAAUAUAUGUUAGUAUAAUAAGACCACUCUCCUCUUUCAUCAAAAACCUCUUCCUUCUCUCUUCAAAUCUCCAUUGUUGAAGCUUGUUCUCCGACUCCGGUUGCUCCCUUAGAACCGGAGUCGGAUCUUUGAUUUUGGCUUUGUAUCCUAUUUUUUCAGCUGAGAUAAUCUGAUUUUCUUCAUGUUCUUCUCUUUGGGUAGCUUAAUCAAGCUUUGAUUUUUUCUUUCCAGGGGAUUGAGAAGUUCAUUGAUGAUCUCAAUGAUGUGUUAAUCAUCUUCUUUGUUUGA